UUUAAGAUAAGUCUAGGAAGAAAAACCUCUACCGCACAAAGUAGAAAGCGAGAAAAGGAGGAAAGAGAGGGAGGUUGAGGAAGUCUUCGGCUAUGGUGUAUUCGGCAAGAAAACAUAUUCUACGCUCGUAUUCUAAAUUUUCUUGCCGACUCCACCCAUGCCUAUGAUUUCCUUUGGUUCCUUUUUAUCCUCGCUUCUCUCACCCAAAAAUAAACUAAGAUCUCUGCCUAUUUUUAGGUUAAACAGUAGUGAAGAGGGAAAGGAGAGGGAGUUAAUGAAAGUUUUUGGGAGUGGGGUGGGUGGAAAGAUUUGUAUUAUCUCUUGAUUUUUUCGUAAUCUCUCUUUUUUUAGAUCUUUGAAAGAAUAAAACAAGGGAUCCAGAAAAUCUUUCCAACUCCCCCCAUUCCACUGAUUUCCAGUUCUUCCUCUCCAUUUUCUUACUUUUUUUUUCAAUCCUCUGUUCCAUCCUCUGCUCAUGCCCGAUCUUGGCAUCUUCUGACAGUUCAGCUAAGAAAUCUUUCCACAGGAGCAUCAACCCUUGGAUUCAGCUUGUAGUCCUUUUAUGUAAAAAAUUAUUUUUAUGUUAAAAAAGAUAACUUAGAAAAAAAAAAAAAAAAACCUUCACAUCCUUAAAUAUGCCUCAA